GAGACCUGCAAACAAAAAAGAAAUAGAAGCCAUUAACCUACCUUGUUCAGAGAGAACACUAAAUCAGCACAAUAUGGCACAGCAUAGUAUUGUCCUUGGAUUAUUCAUGAUGACUGUUUUAUCACUGUUGGAUGGAAGUUCAGCUUUCCUGUUAAAUCAGCGUCUGAAGGGAAGAUUUCAAAGAGACCGUAGAAACAUCCGCCCAAACAUCAUCCUUGUUCUUACUGAUGAUCAGGAUGUAGAACUUGGUUCUAUGCAAGUGAUGAACAAAACAAGGCGGAUCAUGGAACAUGGAGGUGCUCAUUUCAUCAAUGCCUUCGUGACAACACCCAUGUGCUGCCCAUCUCGCUCCUCUGUUCUUACGGGGAAGUACGUCCACAACCACAACACUUACACUAACAAUGAGAACUGUUCUUCUCCAUCCUGGCAAGCUCAGCAUGAAACACGUACAUUUGCAGUGUACCUCAACAACACAGGGUACAGGACAGCUUUCUUUGGAAAGUACCUUAAUGAAUACAAUGGGUCCUAUGUGCCUCCUGGUUGGAAAGAAUGGGUUGGAUUACUUAAAAACUCUCGAUUUUACAAUUACACACUCUGUAGAAAUGGAGUGAAGGAGAAGCAUGGAUAUGACUACUCGAGGGAUUACCUAACUGAUCUGAUUACCAAUGAUAGUAUUACCUUCUUCAGAAUCUCAAAGAAGAUGUAUCCUCACAGGCCUGUACUGAUGGUUAUAAGCCAUGCUGCUCCUCACGGCCCUGAAGAUUCAGCCCCUCAGUACUCACAUCUCUUUCCUAAUGCCUCACAACACAUCACUCCCAGUUAUAACUAUGCUCCAAACCCAGACAAGCACUGGAUAAUGAGGUAUACAGGUCCCAUGAAACCUAUACACAUGGAGUUCACUAACAUGCUACAGAGAAAGCGCCUUCAAACACUCAUGUCUGUAGAUGACUCUAUGGAAAUGAUUUACAAUAUGUUGGUUGAAACAGGUGAACUGGACAAUACGUAUAUAAUAUACACAGCAGACCAUGGUUAUCAUAUUGGGCAGUUUGGGCUGGUGAAAGGAAAGUCCAUGCCAUACGAGUUUGAUAUCAGAGUUCCUUUCUAUGUCCGUGGUCCAAAUGUGGAGGCUGGGUCCUUGAAUCCUCACAUUGUGUUGAAUAUUGAUCUUGCACCUACAAUUCUAGAUAUUGCUGGAUUGGAUAUUCCUUCCGAUAUGGAUGGUAAAUCCAUUCUAAAGCUUCUGGAUUCUGAGAGACCAGUGAAUAGGUUCCAUUUAAAGAAAAAGAUGAAGGUGUGGAGAGACUCAUUCCUAGUGGAAAGAGGUAAACUGCUGCAUAAGAGGGAGAGUGAGAAGGUAGAUGCCCAAGAAGAAAACUUUCUACCCAAAUACCAGCGUGUGAAAGACCUCUGUCAGCGAGCUGAGUAUCAAACAGCUUGUGAACAGCUUGGCCAGAAAUGGCAGUGUGUGGAAGAUGCCAGUGGAAAGCUCAAGCUACACAAGUGCAAGGGAAUGGCAAACUUGGCCGCUGCAGGCAACAGCAAAGGCACCUCCAAUAUUUUGCCCAAGUAUUACAACAGGAAUAGUGAAGACUGCAAUUGUGAAGAGAACGAAUACAAGCUGAGCCACGUUGGACGGAGAAAGAAACUCUUCUCUAAGAAAAAAUACAAACCAAGCUAUGUCCGGAAUCGCUCAAUCCGUUCUGUAUCUGUUGAACUGGAUGGAGCAGUUUAUAACUUGGGUUUAGAGGAUGGAUACCAACCUGUCUUACCAAGAAACAUCACCAAGCGGCACAAGAUGCAGAGGGCUAUUCUUCGUGAGGAGGAAGAUAAAGACGUGGGGGAAUACAGUGGCACUGGUGGUAUUGCAGAGUAUACAGCCCCUAACCUAAUAAAAGUGACUCACAGGUGCUAUAUCCUGGAGAAUGAUACUGUUCAGUGUGACACAGAUCUGUAUAGGUCACUGCAAGCUUGGAAGGACCAUAAACUUCAUAUUGACCACGAGAUUGAAACUUUGCAGAAUAAAAUAAAAAACCUGAGGGAAGUGAGAGGUCAUCUGAAGAAGAAGCGACCUGAAGAGUGUGAUUGUAACAAGAUAAGUUACCAUUCAAAACACAAAAGCAAACUGAGGCACAAGGGAUCUAGUCUUCAUCCUUUCAAGAAAGCCCUACAGGAGAAAGACAGGCUGUGGCUGCUUAGAGAGCAAAGACGAAAGAAGAAACUGCGCAAACUGCUUAAGAGAAUAAAAAAUAAUGACACAUGCAGCAUGCCUGGUCUGACCUGCUUCACCCAUGACAACCAACACUGGCAAACUGCUCCCCUGUGGACACUGGGCCCUUUCUGUGCCUGUACCAGUGCCAACAACAACACAUACUGGUGUUUGAGGACAAUCAACGAGACCCACAACUUCCUGUUUUGUGAAUUUGCUACUGGAUUUUUGGAGUAUUUUGAUCUCAAUACUGAUCCAUAUCAGCUAAUUAAUGCAGUGAAUACGCUAGAUAGAGACGUUCUCAAUCAACUGCAUGUCCAGCUCAUGGAACUAAGAAGCUGCAAAGGGUAUAAACAAUGCAAUCCAAGAACUAGGAACAUGGAUCUGGGUAAGUGCCUCUCCUAUUUAUUACACUCAAAAACUCCCCAAAAGAAAUGGGGCUUUUACCGUUAGGAAACUUUUAUCAGUCAAAAGGAUUUUAGCUGCAUGCUCAAAUUUUUGUCUUUGUUCAAUUUGUGUUAUGUAGUGUUUCUUAAAUGAAGAAUGAUACUUAAAUAGUAUAGUGACAAGUAUUGCUGAGAUGCAGGGGAAGGAGAUGAGGAUGGAACAAAAGUGGUGAAAGAGGGAAAGAAUACUCUAAUAGCCACUACCAAGCUUAUAGAACAAUUCAAGUUGGAAGGGACUUCUGGAUCUAGUCCAGAUUUCUGCUCAAUGCAGGGUCAGCUCUGAGGUCAGACCAGGUUACUCAGGGCUUUAUCCAGUUCCAUCCUGAAAACCUCAAAGUAUGGAGACUGCACAACCUCUGUGGGCAACCAGUUUGGCAGUUGAGUUUCAGCAUUCCAACUGAAUGCCCAAUUUUUAGCAACAUUUCUUCAGAGAGACAGUGCAGUCCAUGCACCCUUGUGGUAAACUGGCUUAAAAACAACUUAAGCACUAGCCUCCUUUUUGAAGUUAAAGCUGAUCAGCUUUCCCUGUGAUAGUGCAAGGUAGUUGUGAAAUAACAGCAUAUCUAAGGGGUUGCAUUAUGCUACCAAAAGAUGUGCUCUUGUAACUAUGGAUUUAAAUUCCAAAAAGCAAAAUGGGCCUUUACUCUGGUUCUAGGUUUGUUUCAUUAUUUCCUAUGCCCUAAAUUUUCUCUAGGUCUACUCAGUGGAUCUGGUUUUUGUAGUGCUUGUGAUUUUUUUUUCUUUUUUAUGGUUAACGAUGGUAGCAAACCAAAAGGUACAGUUACUUGUAUUUCUUAUUUUUAAAUUGCAUUUCUUAUACCCCUUAGUACAAUUAAGUUGACAUAAGAAAUGCUAUUUUAAAAAAUGUAUAGCCUACAGAGCUUGAAGAUGCCCACCCCAAAAAUACUGUUACCUACCUGAGUCCACCAAAGCCCAAAAUAGUAUUUUGGGUCUUAUUUAGUAUAUGCACCACACAGAGCUGUACAUUUUGAAAUCAACAGGUUUUGGCAUUUAAAUACACCAGUGAAGGACAUUUACAGAAAAGUUUCAAAGAUAUAUAUCCCAAUUUACAAUCUAUUUUACCUAGAAUAAGGGAUUAAAUACAAAAAUAACAGCUCCAGUUAACAUGUAUGGUAAUAUUUAUUGUGGCAAUACAUGUUAAUCUGUUAAUAUUCUUAGGUCUUUUUUAAAAUUGUGCCUUACCUGAUACCUUAUUCUGUUGCAGGUAAUAGUUAGUAACGUUGUUAAUUUUUUCUUCAUCUAGGACUUAAAGAUGGAAGCUACGAGCAGUACAGAGGACAACUGUGGGAAGGAUGGGAGGGCUAACCUCCCCCAACCGCUGCACCUCCAUGAGGAUACAAACUGGCCAGAACUUGAAUUCAUGUACAGACUAAAUGAAAAUGUUGUAUGACUUCAGAAAGGAUUAUCAUGUUAGCCUGGAGGACUGGAUAAACUUUGAGGCUGAAAUAGCUAGAAUGUUUGCACUGGUGAGUGAAUUAAAUAGAUGCAGUGAAAUUACGGGAAACGCUGUCAGAAAUACAGGUCUCUCAAAUCCACUGUUGUACCUGCUUUUUGCUUUGGAUUAUACCUCACCUGCUUCACAAGGCAUUUUACUUCAAGAAGACACCACUAAUACUGAUCCAGGAAUUGACAGAAGAGGAAAUACAGCCGCAUCCCAAAGAGGAUUGCCAUCCCGGGGGCAAAGUGUACACAAAGACAGCGGAAGCAAACUUAAAGCAUUUUUCAGUUCAACUAUAUCUUCAGUUGUCAUGAGAAAAACUUCAAAGCCAAGUGUAACUCUAAAGCAAGAUUUAGAAAACAUGGACGCUUUUGCUUCUAACAGGGUAAAGGUAAUGGUGGAAAAGAACUUCUAAGAGAUUUAGGAACAAAAGUGAACAGCAUUAAAUAUUCUCAACACCAUCAUGUUUCUCAAACUUCCUCUGAGGAUACGUUUUAGUUCUAUGUCUACUUGUCCAUCCUAUUGAGACCUCUAGGAAAAUUAGAGAAAAUCUUGACUAACAGGACGCCAGAUUUUUGGAGUGGUUGUGUAAAUAUUGAUCAAUAUACUGUCUGAAAAUAAAUUCCUUCAGGUUGUGAAGAAUUUUGUUAAUAAAAAGAGUGGAAUGCCCACACACCAUUUCUCAAAAUGUUACUUAAUGUUGCAUAGUACAUUUCAGAAUCUAUCCAUUUUUACAAGUACUGAAAAAUUUCAGUAAAUGUACAUCUUAAAUUUUAAUGAAAUCAGAUUUGUAUGAAGUUUUUUUAUGUGGUAAUAUUAUAUUGUAUGUUCAAAACCAAAACAAUUCCUUUGAGAAAGCAGCAUUUGCGUAGUAGUGUAACUUUUACAUUUAUUUUUAAAAAAGGCAAGAAGUUCAAUACUUGUAGCCAAUAAUCUAGUUAUAGUUUAGUCUACAGAAAAGUAGAUGUUCUGAAUGACAGUUACUGUUUAAAGGCUUUUAAAGGGAAAAAAACGUCAUUUUACUAAGGAAGCACAGUGUACAGAGUCUAUUUGAGUAUUUUCAUAAAGACGUUAUUAAAUACAUUGUAGUACAGGCACUAGCAGUGAUAUUUGUACUUAUAAUUUUUUUCAUGUUAAUCUGCUACCUGUUUUAAAGGCACAUGCAGGAAGGAGCUCAUGUGACAGACUCAACCAACUGUGGCCUUCACUCUUAACAAGAGGUACUUCUUUUCAAAACACAAACCUGACUUGCACUUCUAGAAACACAGUGUAAAAAUACAUCAUGGAAAUUAUUUUGAUACCCUUCCUGGUUUUUGCACAUUAGGAAAUUCAAGUGGAAUUACUUCACAACUGAUACAGAUCUCUGGUACCACACCCCCAUACUCAAAAAAUAUACUUGAAUUUAAGAACCAAGGAAAAAAAACCCACUCAAAAAAGUGGCAGUGGGGUCGUUCACUGUAUGUGCUAUGUAGUAAAACGAGGCUUGAGCUUGUAUUUUUAUCACAUGUGAGUCAAAUACACUUCCCAAACUUUUCUUGCGAGUUUUUUUAAUUAUGGAAGUAAUAUAUGAUUGUCUGUCUUAAUCUAGUCAUAGAUUUUGUUUAUAACCUGUUACAGAUUUCAUGGAUUAUCAGAAACAUCUGCUAGAUGAUGAGAUCCUGGAUCAAUACAAAUAAGUAAAAAAUACUGAAUUUAAACUCACCAAUAGAAACACAUUUUUUGCUGCUUUCCAGAGAAAAGUGUUAGCUGUCUCUACCAUUCCCAGUGAGUAUGCAGAAAGAAUACUAGGUUAGAUUAAAAAAAAUUUGCACUUACCUUUUUUUUUGUGUUCAGCCUAUAUUCUUUGACAAGAUGAGAGUGUGACUGUCAAAAUCCUGCAUGGCCAGUGCUACUGCUCCUGUUACAUACCAGUCAGAAGCUUGAAAAGUUACCAUGUCCCUUUAUACAAAAUAUUGAGCUGUGGGACUUGUAUGUGACACAAGAAGCAGCUGUUAUUUUAUGAAAGGUAGGUCAUUGCCAAGUUAUGGGGAAAGCUACCACCUCUUCUCCUUUCAGCUCUGCUAAAGACUGCUAUUUUAAGUUUAAAAAGACAUAAAUGCCACUUGGUGUUAAUGCAACUUUAGUUGAUAAAUGGGUCUCAUAGGUGGAAGGUCUAAGUUGUUACUCCCUUAGCUUUUAUGGCCAACUAGGAAAAAAUUUAAAUCAGUUGCUAGACAUAGCUUUCCUCAGUAAUAGCACUGGAUUUUUCUCUGACCUUUCCAGGAUACAGUUGUCAGCCUUAAGGUAUUAGACAGCUAAUACACUGUGUCACCAAGUUCUGAUUUUAAAUAGAAACCUUUAUUUACAUUAUUAUUAACAUCCAAACACAAAAAUCAGAAGAGCAGUAAUACCUUACAACCAACUCUUUUAUAAAUCAGUCCCCAUGAUUUUUCUGUUUUGCAAAAUAAAGAUACAGAUAUUCCAAGCAAUACUUACAAUGUAAACUAAACUUAAAUGCAAUUCUCAAUACUGUAUGCCUUCUCCUGAGAAUUUUUUAAAAUAUUGCUCUCAGAAUUACAUGGUUUCAUACUUGCUGUAUCAUUCUGUCAUCUGGUAGUCUGCACAUAAAUUCUAAAAUAAAAUGUGUGCUAAUUGGUACAACA